rnacentral:antisense_RNA from 2 species
CUUGACCGUACCCAGCCGCAGCGGCUCGGUACGGUUCUGCCCGUACGUGGCCAGCAGCGCCUGCGCCUC